GAUGAACGCUGGCGGCGUGCUUAACACAUGCAAGUCGAACGGAAAGGCCCCAGCUUGCUGGGGUACUCGAGUGGCGAACGGGUGAGUAACACGUGGGUGAUCUGCCCUGCACUUUGGGAUAAGCUUGGGAAACUGGGUCUAAUACCGAAUAUGACCACUUCUUGGAUGUUGUGGUGGAAAGCUCUUGCGGUGUGGGAUGAGCCUGCGGCCUAUCAGCUUGUUGGUGGGGUAAUGGCCUACCAAGGCGGCGACGGGUAUCCGGCCUGAGAGGGUGUACGGACACAUUGGGACUGAGAUACGGCCCAGACUCCUACGGGAGGCAGCAGUGGGGAAUAUUGCACAAUGGGCGCAAGCCUGAUGCAGCGACGCCGCGUGGGGGAUGAAGGCCUUCGGGUUGUAAACUCCUUUCGCUGUCGACGAAGCCACUUGUGGUGACGGUAGGUAGAUAAGAAGCACCGGCUAACUACGUGCCAGCCGCCGCCGUAA
rnacentral:rRNA from 1 species